rnacentral:rRNA from 1 species
UACGUGGGGUGCAAGCGUUAAUCGGAAUUAUUGGGCGUAAAGGGCGCGUAGGCGGUGCCACAAGUCACUUGUGAAAUCCCCGGGCUCAACCCGGGAACUGCGUCCGAUACUGGAAGGCUUGAAUCCGGGAGAGGGAUGUGGAAUUCCAGGUGUAGCGGUGAAAUGCGUAGAUAUCUGGAGGAACACCGGUGGCGAAGGCGACAUCCUGGACCGGUAUUGACGCUGAGGCGCGAAAGCCAGGGGAGCAAACGGG